rnacentral:lncRNA from 1 species
UGCCCUCCUUGUUGGGGGAGAGGAAGACUUUGAGCCAAAGAGUUGUGCAGUUCCCACUCCUCAUAUUUCCUGAUGAGAGUUUUAUUUUGGAUGUGAAAGGUUUGGGAAAUCCAGAGAGAAGGAGGCAAUUAGAAGAGGUGAUUUAUCAAAACAGAAUAGAGAUUGUGGGAGUACAAGAAACAAUUAGAGAAAAUUUCACUAUGUAUGAGUUAGAAACAUUGUGUGGCGGCAUGGAUUUCCAAUGGUUGACAAAACCUGCUGAUGGCCACUCAGGUGGUCUGCUUCUAGGGGUCAACUUGGAGAUUUUUGAAGCAGGGGAAAUGGAUAAGAGAUGGGUGGUGAUUAAUGUUUAUGGACCAGUGCAAGGAGAUAAGAAGGAAAGAUUUUUGUUGGAACUUGAAAAAAAGAUUGCUGAUCAAAGUCAUCAUGUCUUGCUGGGUGGGGAUUUUAAUAUGAUAAGAUGUGCUAAGGAAACAAUGGUCAGGUCAAUAGAAGAUGGAUGGAGAGAUUCAAUGACUAUCACAAACCAGGAACUUAGAGAGGUGCAUAGACUGGGAAGUAAAUACACCUGGACAAACAUACAAAAAAAC